rnacentral:tRNA from 1 species
GGACAGGUGGCCGAGUGGUUAAAGGCAGCAGACUGUAAAUCUGCCCGACGUUGUCGUACGCUGGUUCGAAUCCAGCCCUGUCCACCA